rnacentral:rRNA from 1 species
UACGAAGGGGGCUAGCGUUGCUCGGAAUCACUGGGCGUAAAGGGUGCGUAGGCGGGUCUUUUAAGUCAGGGGUGAAAUCCUGGAGCUCAACUCCAGAACUGCCUUUGAUACUGAAGAUCUUGAGUUCGGGAGAGGUGAGUGGAACUGCGGGUGUAGAGGUGAAAUUCGUAGAUAUUCGCAAGAACACCAGUGGCGAAGGCGGCUCACUGGCCCGAUACUGACGCUGAGGCACGAAAGCGUGGGGAGCAAACAGGG